rnacentral:lncRNA from 1 species
CGAGCGGCGGGCAGGGGCUUCGCGGCGCCCGGGCUGAGCCCUCCUGGCCCGCGGCGCCUGUGCCGGCCGCGCCCCGCCGGCGGCCCGGGAACGGGCUUUGUCCGCGCUGGCGAGUUGAAAUGAGUGCUGUCUAGUGCCCUCUGCUCCCCAUCGUUGAAGAACAGAGUCUGCUGCACUGAACCUGCUCAGGGUGGAGAUGGUGGAAAGGCUAAAGUUCAAGUUCACAGACCCAAAAUGUGUAUGAAGAGAGGAGCAAGUCCGAGCAACUGUGUGCAACACAUCAUCCCCCAAUUGCCCAUAUGGCUGCAGGGAACCAUAGCAGCAGUAUUACACAGAGAAAGGCAAGACGAUGACGACGAUGCAUCCUCUGCUAAUGGAGCCUGCUGA